AGAACAAGUGUCAACGCUUUUAAAGGGCACGGCUUGUUUCAGCCACAAAAACGCACCGGCUGGCAAGGCAGGCGGCUGGGGGCUGCCUACCCGGAAGCCGGGUGGGGUGGGGGCGGGAACACCUCCGAACCCCGACUCCGCAGUCGCCGCCCAGGCGCGCCGCCCCUCCCUCCGCGCCCGUCCCCACCGCGGGAAGGGGCACCCCGGGCUCGAGUCGUCGGGCAGCCGACGCCGGCGAGACGGCAGGGCGUCGGAGAGGAGGCUGCAGAGCGGAGGCAAACCCAGCGCGAACGAGGGAAGACGUUACCUUGUUCAUCCCAUUCCCCAUGGUGGCUGAAGGCGAACGCUAGCGCCCCGGCCGUGUGGUCGCAGGCUCACUAUGCGAGUUACAGACAUGCUGGUCUCCUGUCUGUUCCUUGAGCCUGUCAGGCUUGCUGGGCUGUGCUCUCUAUCCAGACACCUGGAUCCCCAGCUCUCUGCAUACCUGCCUGUUAUCGCUGAGGUAUCAGCCCAAAUGCCAUCUCUCCUAAGAGGCUUUUCCUAACCACCCAAUUCCAGUUCUAUGACUUUUACUCUCUAGCUCUUGAUUAUGGAAAGAAAGGAAGAAAGGAAAGUCUUCAACAAAGCUGGCGUAUUUCACAUCCAUAGUAGAAUCUCUAUUCAUUUGCGCUUUAUCGCACUCAUAAAAAUUUUAAGGCAUCACAAGCCCGGUGGAUUUUCACACUAUCAUUGUCCAGAGAGAGGCUGCCCAGUUGAAUACCUGAGUUCUCAAGGCCAUGCAGAACAGCCUGACCAUGAGGAUGGGCCCCUGUGGUAUACGACCUCAACUCUUCAAAGGUCACAAUUUCCAGCCUUCCAAGCAGUCUUCUAAUUAUGAACGUGGUUUCCUCCUUUCACUGAAGAGAUUUGCGGGGCUCAGAUCUCAGCACGGAUAUCUGGAGAGUGUGGGGUCAGGGAAGAGCAGCAAGAGGAAUGGAUAUCCAGACCCCGCAAACAACAACUAACAUGAGGACAACUGCUGGGAAGAGGCUGAAGCAAUUGCAGCAUGAUCACACAAGUGAUAACCACCAAGCCAAAGGGACAGGAAGCUCUCGGCAUUGUUGGUGUUUUACUCGAGCCAUGGUACAAAUAAUUCCCUGUGUGAGAUGUUGAAGGAGAGCAGCUGCCUCCCAUUGCUGGGCAGGGCCAGGCACACUCAGCUGCUUGGAACACAUGGCAGCAACGAAUUUCUGCUCAAGGCUCGGAUCAGGCAACUGAUGCUUUCCGGAAGGGAAAUAAUGGCUGAGGAAACGUCGAUGUCAAUAUUUCUUCAUGGAGAAAAACACAUUUUGAUCUUUUCCUCAAACAAGUCAAUAAGGGACACAAGCUCUGCCAAAGAUAUGCAGGAGAAUUCAGCUCCAAGGGAAGGAGCAGAAACCCCAACCCUGAAGUCCCAGACACACAGGGCCUGCCUGAGGCUGAGGCUAGACCAGGACAACAAAGAAUUCUCCUGCUUCCCACCACAACGAUUGUUCAUAGCAAGUAAGAAGAAGCAGGCUACCACUGGGAGAUGGCAAGAGCACAGAGAGAGAGAAUGUCUGUGGUGCAAGAGUACCAAGGAGGCCAAAGCUGAGGAUGAAGAAGGAACAUUGAGGAAAACUCUCCAGGACCUGAGCAGCCAUCCUAAGCACAAUGUAACACCAGAGACCACGGAAGCCAGUGGUGCACUGAAGUGAACCAGAGCAGCAACAGAAGUCCAGUUCAACUCAACUCCUGACCAGAUUGAGUCAGGUUCCCAAAUAAACUACCAGAAGAAUCCAGUUCAACUCAACUCCUGACCAGAUUGAGUCAGGUUCCCAAAUAAACUACCAGAAGAAUCCAGUUCAACUCAACUCCUGACCAGAUUGAGUCAGGUUCCCAAAUAAACUACCAGAAGAAUCCAGUUCAACUCAACUCCUGACCAGAUUGAGUCAGGUUCCCAAAUAAACUACCAGAAGAAUCCAGUUCAACUCAACUCCUGACCAGAUUGAGUCAGGUUCCCAAAUAAACUACCAGAAGAAUCCAGUUCAACUCAACUCCUGACCAGAUUGAGUCAGGUUCCCAAAUAAACUACCAGAAGAAUCCAGUUCAACUCAACUCCUGACCAGAUUGAGUCAGGUUCCCAAAUAAACUACCUAGAAGAAGAGUUAUAAUUAUUUCCAGGGAUAGAUACUAUACACCUCAGUAUAUCACAGCAAAACUGAAGGUAGGAACUCAAAAAGAUACCGCAGGCCAAAUUUCCUGGGAGAAAAAGAUGGAAGCAAUCCAAAUGUCUAUCAGCAGAUGACUGGAUAGACAAAACAUGGCUUAUACAUGCAAUGGAAUAUUAAUUCAGCGUUAAAAAGUAAUGAAGUUCUGAUACUUAAAUGAAUCUUGAAAACAUUAUGCUAAGUAAAAUAAGCUAGAACAAAAGGAUAAUUAGUGUAUAAUUCCACAGUAAUUAUCCAAGAGGUACCAAGAGUCGUCAAACUCAUAUAGACAAAAGUAGAAUAGAGGUUACCAGGAGCCUGGGGGAGGUAAAAGUGAGGAAUUAUUAUUUGGGGUGAUAAAAAGUUAUAGAAAUGGGUGGUGCUUAUGGUUGCAUGUGCUGUGAAUGUACUUGGUGCCACCGAAUUGGACAUCUAUAAGUAGGUGAAAUGGGCUGGGUGCUGUGGCUCACACCUGUAAUCCCAGCACUCUGGGAGGCUGAAGCAGGUGGAUCAUUUGAGGUCAGGAGUUUGAGACCAGCCUGGCCAACAUGGUGAAACCCCAUCUCUACUAAAAAUACAAAAAUUAGCUGGGUAUGAUGGCGGGCGCCUAUAAUCCCAGCUACUUGGGAGGCUGAGGCGGGAGAAUCGCUUGAACCCAGGAGGUGGAAGUUGCAGUGAGCUGAGAUCACGCCACUGCACUCCAGCCUGGGCGACAAAGCGAGACUCCGUCUCAAAAAAAUAAAAAUAAAAAAAUAGUUAAAAUGGCAAAUUUUAUAUUAUAUUACAUAUAUGUUUUAUAAUUUUUAAAAUAACAUUUUUAAAAGAGUUCAUAAAAAUCUCCAGGCUCAGAUAGCUUCACUGGCAGAUUUACCAAACAUUUAAGAAAGAAAUAGUGCCAAUUUUACACAAACUUAGCGUAAGAAUUUUCUUCCACUUAGCGUAAUGUUUUCAAGGUUCACUCAUGUAUCAGAAUUUUAUUCCUUUUCAAAGCUUUCAGAUAAUUGAGAGAGAACACUUAUCCAUUCAUUCUGUGAAGUUAGCAUUGCGUUGGCACCAAAACCAGAUGAAAACAAUACAAGAAGAGAAAUCUACAGGCCAAUUCCCGUCAUGAAUAUAGGUGCAAAAAUCUUCAACAAAGGAUUAGCAAGUCAAAUAAACGAUAUAUAAAAAUAUAAUAAAUCAUGACCAAGUGGAAUUUAUUCCAUGAAUGGAAUGCUCGUUCAAAUAUUAGAAAAUUAAACAAUGUAAUUCACCAUAUCAAUAAAAUAAAUUAUCAUUUGAUGAGAUUCAGAAAAACCAUUUGACAAAAUCCAAAAUCCAUUUUUGAUAAAAACUCUCAGCAAACUAGGAAUAUGAGGGAACUUCCUCCAAGUGAGCAUCUACCAAAAAUUUGCCAACAUCAUACUUAAUGGUGAGAAACUAAAUGUUUUCCCCUUAUGAUCAGGAACAAGAACGGAUGCCCACUUUCACCAACCCUAUUCAACCUCAUAUUAGAGAUCCUAGCCAAAACACUAAAGUGAGGUGGGGAAGAGAAUACACAUUGAAAGAAAGAGAUAAAACUAUCUCUAUUUGCAUAUGACAUGAUUAUCUAAGUAGAAAAUCUCAAAUAAUAUACAAAAAUGGCUAGAACUAGCAAAUGAAUUUAAUAAGACCAGAGGAUACAAGGUCAAUACUAAAAUAUCAAUAGUUUUAUUAUAUAAUACCAAUAAAAAAGUAAUAAUUGAAAUUUUAAAAACUGUGUUAUUUACAAUUGUACCAAUAAACAGAAAAUACUUAGAUAUAAACCUAAUAGAGUUUAUAUGAGGUCUGUAUGUUUGAAAAUAAUAAAACACUGAGAUGCGAAAUCAAAGAUCUGAAUAAAUGGAUGUAUACCAUGUGUGCCAUGUCCAUGGACUGAAAGACUCAAUAUUUCUAAAGUGCCAGUUUUCCCCCAAGUUGAUCUAUGGAUUCAGUGCUAUCCCAGUUAUAAUCCCUGAAGGAUUAUUUGUAGAAAUCAAUAAGCUUGUUCUAAAAUUUAUAUGGAAAGGCAAAGCAACUGUAAUUGUCGGGUAAAUAAUAAAUAUCCUUAUGGUUUAAGUCA